CCUACGGGUGGCUGCAGUGGGGGAUAUUGCACAAUGGGGGAAACCCUGAUGCAGCGACGCCGCGUGUGGGAAGACGGUCCUCUGGAUUGUACACCACUGUCCCCAGGGACGAAGAUGACGGUACCUGGGGAGGAAGCUCCGGCUAACUACGUGCCAGCAGCCGCGGUAAUACGUAGGGAGCAAGCGUUGUCCGGAAUUACUGGGUGGAAAGGGAGCGUAGGCGGGAUGGCAAGUUGGGUGUUAAAUCUACCGGCUCAACUGGUAGUCGCACUCAAAACUGCUAUUCUUGAGUGAAGUAGAGGCAGGCGGAAUUCCUAGUGUAGCGGUGAAAUGCGUAGAUAUUAGGAGGAACACCAGUGGCGAAGGCGGCCUGCUGGGCUUUUACUGACGCUGAGGCUCGAAAGUGUGGGGAGCAAACAGGAUUAGAUACCCUUGUAGUC
rnacentral:rRNA from 1 species